GGGACUAUGGGUUACCUUGAGCAAGA
rnacentral:piRNA from 1 species